CGCUGGGCAGUCACACCCAGGGAUAAACAAACUCGCACCCUGUGCUUUGGCCGUGGCCUUGGCCAUGGUCAGGGCCGGGGUUGCCCGAGUCUCGCAGCCGAGGAACACAGGAUUCAAACAGGCGUUGGGACGCAGGGAAGGAGCUGCCUGCCACCUUCUUGGAAAAUCGGGACGCCGAGGCCCAGCGACGGAGGAGAGAAGGUCCAGGGUAUAUGAAGACCUGUGUGGUUCCAUAGAAACCAACGCAAUCAAAACCAAGAGACAGGAGCAGAGGUUUCCUUAAAGGAAACACAAUCGGCCACGGUGCCCUCAGAAGGUGCCUGCGACCCUGGCCACCGGGAGAUGCAAGUCAGAGCCACAGGAGUGACCGAUCCCCAGAGGCUCUGAGACAGCACAGCCGUCCCCAGGCCUCACGGCUCCUGCUGUUGGGCACUUGGCACAAGCUUCAUUGAGACAUGUGACACACAGAGAAUCGGGCCGCAGAGAGGACAGCUAGAAGGAGCAGCCAGCCAGCACCUCCCCAGAAGCCCGGUGUCCCCUCCGGUCACUGCUGCCCUGGGGGAGCCGCCAGCUUUGCCCCAUAGAGCAGUUUGCUGCUUUGAGCUGGACACCUGCGGAUGGGC